rnacentral:misc_RNA from 1 species
AACGCAACUUGCACUCUAGGUUCUCCUAGAGUAUGCCUAUUUGAGUAUCGGUACCCCCACUCACAACCACCGUGUGUUUGUGGAUCCGAUGAGUCAUGCGCACGCGUGCGCGCGCGCUGACUUGAAGUGUACACUGAAUCGGGCCUAUGUAUACUGUACAUGCGGCACUGACGUGAUAGUCUCACAUGUUUGGGAACUCGUCAGGCACACAUGCCACGUGUCGGUCAUAGUGACCUAGUCACACACCCAUAUCACAUUUUAUAAAUCUCGAUCUCAAAUUAGGUAGGACUACCCGCUGAAUUUAA